AAGUCGUAACAAGGUUUCCGUAGGUGAACCUGCGGAAGGAUCAUUAAAGAAAAAAAGAGAAAUAUAUUAUAAAACAGAGAUAGAGAGAGAUAUGAUAGUAGUGAUAUUGUAGUGAUAUUGUAAUGAUAUCAUGACAAAUAAACACAAUAAAAACACAACUGCUACCAAUGGAUCACUUGGUUCUC
rnacentral:misc_RNA from 1 species